rnacentral:lncRNA from 1 species
AUAUCAGAAGAUGGUUCCAAAAGCUCCUGCCAACUUUUUAGAGACUUGCAUUGGUUACACUGUGGUAAGCAGUAGACCAGAGCCUUUUCUGUGUAAAGUGCUGGCAUUCAAAGACCUACCACACGAAGUCCCAGUCCUGCAAUCAGACACAGAGAGAGCUUCCCAUGCAUCCAGAAGCCCACUACCAGCCAACAGAAACAUCAAAGAUCACUUUUGAAGGUUGCAGGAAGACUCAGCAGUACAAAUCUGGUAGCACCUCAAAGGCCUGCUAACAAAAC